rnacentral:rRNA from 1 species
GUGAGGAAUAUUGGUCAAUGGACGGAAGUCUGAACCAGCCAAGUAGCGUGCAGGAUGACGGCCCUAUGGGUUGUAAACUGCUUUUAUGCGGGGGUAAAGUGAGUGACGUGUCAUUCAUUGCAAGUACCGCAAGAAUAAGGACCGGCUAAUUCCGUGCCAGCAGCCGCGGUAAUACGGAAGGUCCUGGUGUUAUCCGGAUUUAUUGGGUUUAAAGGGAGCGUAGGCCGUCAGGCAAGCGUGUUGUGAAAUGUCGUGGCUCAACCAUGGACUUGCAGCGCGAACUGCCCGACUUGAGUGCGCAGAAAGCAGGCGGAAUUUGUGGUGUAGCGGUGAAAUGCUUAGAUAUCACGAAGAACCCCGAUUGCGAAGGCAGCCUGCUGUAGCGCUACUGACGCUGAAGCUCGAAAGUGCGGGUAUCGAACAGGAUUAGAUACCCGAGUAGUCC